GGAUCUCUGCUUCUUUGUCUUGUAGGCAAGUCUGUGGAGACAGUCUGGUCCAUGGAUACUGGCCUCCUGGUAAGCCUCUUCAGGGUCCCAGCCAUUGCAGCCUGUUCCUACAGGAAGAGGAGUGAGCAAAGGAAGACUUCACAGCACCACCACUCCGCUUACACGUGGCUCUGGGCCUCUGAUCCAGUAGAGCUAGCUCAAGCUACAGACAGGAGGAGUUCCCCACCAGUAAGAGGCCUGCAGCUUUGCAUAUCUGCUGGUGGCCAACGCGCGCACGUGGUCCCAGUUGGAGGUGAGGUCCUCUUUCAUCUGCUGGAUCUGAGCUGCAUGGAUCCUUCCAAAACAGCAAAGGACACACUGUGUCGGGUUGAAUGAACCUGCCCAUGGUAGACCAGAGGACUGACUGCAUGAUGGCCCACAAGGCCUUCAUCGUAAGAGCUCAGGUAUGACCCUUGAUUUUGCUUGCACCUCUGCUUCAAAGGACUCAUGCUUCUGAUAUUUUCCCUGCAGAGCGGAAAUCAAAGUGUCAUCUGCAUCCCGUCUAAAAACCUGGUAGUGGUAGGAUUCUUCUAGCUUCUGUCCCCUCUCAGCAACCAGCUCUUUGAACCUCUG